rnacentral:rRNA from 1 species
UACGGAGGAUGCGAGCGUUAUCCGGAUUUAUUGGGUUUAAAGGGUGCGCAGGCGGAUUUUUAAGUCAGCGGUCAAAUCGUGGGGCUCAACCCCAUCCAGCCGUUGAAACUGUAUAUCUAGAGUGUCGGAGAGGCAAGUGGAAUUCCUGGUGUAGCGGUGAAAUGCGUAGAUAUCAGGAGGAACACCAGUGGCGAAGGCGGCUUGCUGGACGAUGACUGACGUUGAGGCUCGAAAGCGUGGGGAGCAAACAGG